GCAGUCUUGCCUCUACAAAUGUACAAUAACUACAUCAUCAUCGUCGAUCGAUUCGCCUGUCAGGAAUCGAUGAUUUUUCAGUCCUUCGAGUAGGUGCUGAAGUUUUUACUCUGGCUGCACUUCAAACUGCAACAAAUGUGGAAAUGGAACUUAAGUUUCAUCAUUGAUGGUAUACAUCACAAAUUCAUGUAGUUAAUUUACAAUCCUGACCUGCUACUCUUGAAUGUAAAUAGUAAUUAUUAUGCAUUGAAUAUUUUAUCUUACAG